rnacentral:lncRNA from 1 species
AAAAAUUCAAAAAAUUUGACAAUACUGUUUUAAUACAUAUAUGAAUCAUGUAAUAAUAUAUGAUGAAGUUCAAAGAGGUUUGGAGCCUUUGUUGUCUCCGUUUCUCUAGGGAAUAGCAGUUUUAUAGUGGUUAGUCCAAUUAUUUAGGGAGUAUUUGCAGUUUUGCUAAAUUAAUGGAUAAAAAUGUAGAACGAUGUCCAUGUACCAUGAAAAGAAGAUUAUCA